UCCACAUUCACAAUGUUAAUUCUUGUAUCUUAGACAGAUGGAGCAAAAUGUGGAAACCCCUUGAUUUACUUCAUUCUCAGCCAAGUUAUCAUUGUUUGUCCAUAGGCGUACGACCUGGGGGGGGGGGGGCGCCCCCCCCCCCCAUUUUGGGCACCAAAUGCUGGGAAAAUUUGGGCACACAAUUGUACUUUGUAAAAGUUGUAUAAAAAAUAGUGUGUUCUUCAAUGUGUCCAAUUUAACAGCGAAUUUAAAUUCAGAGUGUCUAUAGUUAGGCAAUUAAAUAGAAAUCUGAAGACUCAUACCCUCUAUUGUUUGGAGUACAGUAAGCCACGAGUUACAGUUACAUAAACAACUGUUUUUAGUUGUGUAUAUUACAAGUUAAUAAAAUUUAGUUCUCUUUUAGUAAUACUAUUUAUAACAGCGUAAGCAUUUUUCAUAAAUCCCGGUUUUCUCAUAUUCUAGUAGUAAAUUUAUUUUAUAUUUUCUAUCUAUCAGGAAAAUGGGUACAGAAAAUCUGCAGACGCCUGCAAGAAUCGCAUAAAGAAUAUGAAGCAUUCUUAUAAAAAAAAUAAAGGACCACAACAAUAAAAGUGGGAGUGGCAAGAAAACUAGCAAGUUUUUUGACGCUAUGGAUAAAAUAUUAGGAACCAGACCCGCUACCCGUCCAACACAUAUUCUGGAGACAAGUAUUAAUUCAGAAACACAAGAUUUGGAUGAUUUUGAUGAUGAUGAUAAUGAUGAGGAACCAACAAGAGUCAAUUUGGAAAAUGAAGAAAAUGAGCCUACAGAAACCGUCCUCCGUAAACAGCCAGAAAAAAAAGGUUCAGUUGCUAUUUAUUCUAAAUGGUUAUCAAUAUUUGAAAAGAGUACAACACUGGAGCUGCUUUCUGUCUAAGAACGUGGUAAACCGGUCACUAAUUCCUUCUGUGAUUCAAUAUAAAUUUUAAAAAAUGCUAGAAUAACAUCCCACUGAAAACUAGCUGUACGUAUAGAUGAGUGUUGUGCAGGACAAAUGGUAUGUUUACUGGUUAUAAAGUACACGGAACAUUUGAUUUUGUAUCCCAAUCAAAUUAGAAAAUGAAAUGAAAUGGGGUUUAACGUCCUACUCUUCUGCACCUAACCUGGGCUAAUUGAAGACGGGCAUACGCCAUACAGUGUGCUAUGAGGGAAAUUUUGCCCGGGCAGCGGCGCUACGGCCUACUCUUAUAUCGAAUUCCAACUGCCAAGGGAUCUUUUAAGUGCACGCCAAUGUGUACACUGGACCUCGGUUUUUCGUCCCAUCCGAACGACUAGACAGCUGUCCUUGUCAGGCCCUCCGUUCUGCAUCACUGACAAAGGGAAACCACGCCGGAAAUUCGAGAUGAACUUUCUCGGCCAAUGCAGGGAUCGAACACCUGACCUCCAGGCUAGCGAGCCAGCGUCUUACCCACUUAGCCACGUGAUCCCCCCAAUCAAAUUAGAAAUUAUAGGUGUUCAAAAAAGUCAUACCUGUGACAACGCCCUUAACUACUUUAUAUAGCUAUUAUUUACCUAAAGAAUUUUGUUUAUGAUUUUAAUACAUAAUAAGAUCGGAUUCAAAAUAGUGUAGCCAUGAAUAGGUAAAACAAAACAGAAGAGUGACUUAAUAAGGUGUAUACCUAUAUGGAAAUAAAAUGCAGGACUUGAAAUGUUCUCUGACAGGUAGUAAGUAGGUGGACUAAAUUUACUAAUGUUCAGGAAAUUGACUCCAGACCACAAUAGGCCUACUCAUUAUGAUGUCACAUUUAUUUAAUUAUUCCUUUACAAUAUGGUUAUUUUUGGUACAUGCCUGACCUCCAGGGACAGAACCACGCCCAAUUAUUGUAUAAGAACUUUAACACACCAUCCACACAAGUUUUCAUCUAUAGCAUUUUGAAGUAUCUACACAGAAGUACAUGUGUAACGGCACCAUGGUAAAUAUUGUGGUUGUUUUUGGAUAAUUAAGAGUGACAGGUUAGUUACUGAAGGGAUAUUUCGAGGCCCGAAUUGUCAAUCAUUGUUCAUUUAUUUAAACAUUAAAGAGUUAUUUUAUUUACUUACAGGACAAAUACAUGAAUUUUAUUUGUCAUUCCAUUUUACCAUGGCUCAAGUUUUAAUAAAUUUAUUUCCAUGUUUUAAUUAUUAAUAUCCAUAUCAUUAUCAAAUGUGUCAUGAAGCUGAUAUAUGUACUUGGUUGUGAAAGUUAACUGUAGUUGUAACACGUUUUAUGUGAUUUCAGUUUUUAUGAAUUUAAAUUACCAGUAUGAGAUUAAUUGUUUCAAUGGCAUUUAGCAAUUGAACUGGGAAUACACAGGACAAUCCUUGUUUAUAUCUAAAGCAAAGUUUUGACUUGGCUUCUUAUCGUUAUCAAAUAAUGCAAAACGGUAUGAGGUGGGUGUUUUCUUCUUUGUAAGUCAAUUGAUAAGCCCCUAAUAAGAACAAAACAGUCUGUUAUGUUUUCAAAAAUGGUAAAUUCUCUUUUAUUUAAUACAUUAAUUGAAAGACAUAAAUUAAAAAUUGAUCAAUAACUUUAUAGUGUAGGCUUGUACAGUGGACUCGGAAUAUUCCGAAUUAUUAGACCAAUCUGGGGACCCCCGUUAAACGAUUUCUGUUGAAUUAACAUUGGAUAAUCCGGCCUUCAAUCAGUGGGUGUUAACCGACAAGCAAUCAAUUAUCGGUGAGCUUAAAGUAUGUGUCAGUCUUUGUUAAUAAAACCUUGAUAAUUUUAUAAUUUCUUGUAAGAGAGUGCUUGGUAUUUCAUUUGAUUUUUUCACGUCAAAUACAGCAACAUUAAAUAUAAAUUGCUGAGAUGAAGAAUCACUAUCAUUAUAAUAUUUUGUUCAUAACGACGCACAAGUGUUUUGUACGCACCCAAAGUAAAAACAUAAUAAUUUUAUAUAAUAAAGUUUCAAAUGUACAGAAAGGUUUAUCAUAUUUUUAAGUUCUGGGUAUUCGAAGGUGCAUUAAAAUAAUACUUUGGUAUUCGAGGUACAAUAAUACUUGCGGUUUUGAGACAAUUAAGUAUUCCGUCAUGGUGUAUAAUCUGGCAUUGUAUCGGUCCUGUACAAUGUUGAAAGUGAAAGAGUCCACUGUAUAUUUUAAUUACAUACACUUCUUCAGUGAUGGACAACAAAGAUGACAAUUGGACCUCUUAUUAUAUAAUCCAACUCUGGCUUAAUGAGAUGCAUGGAUCAAAAAUCAAGAUGCCAAAAGGUGUCAAUUUAAAUUCUGUAUCCAAAUACCUUUAAAUUAGUAUGUGACUUAGAAAUAUGCUUGGAAUAUUUAAAUUUGAAUGUACCAUAAUAUUACUUUUAAGAAAGAAGAUAUUGAAAAUUUUGGAAACAAAUUGAACUCCAUAGCAACCAUUUGGCCAGAGCUGAUCACAUAUAUAGUUAUAAUAGACCCACUGUGUUAUAAGAUUAUCAGUUAUUUUUCUGUUGUAUGAUUUUUAUUAUGAAAAUAAACCAAUUUAGUUUGA